UACGAAGGGGGCUAGCGUUGCUCGGGAAUUACUGGGCGUAAAGGGCGCGUAGGCGGAUGUUUAAGUUUGGGGGGUGAAAGCCCCGGGGGCUCAACCUCGGAAUUGCCUUCAAUACUUGGACAUCUUGAGUACGGGAGAAGGUGAGUGGAACUCCGAGUGUAGAGGUGAAAUUCGUAGAUAUUCGGAAGAACACCAGGUGGCGAAGGCGACUCACUGGCCCGUUACUGACGCUGAGGCGCGAAAGCGUGGGG
rnacentral:rRNA from 1 species